UACGGAGGGUGCGAGCGUUGUCCGGAAUCACUGGGCGUAAAGGGCGCGUAGGCGGCUGGUGAAGGCUUGUGUGAAAGUCCGGGCUCAACCCCGGAUCGGCACGGGCGACUCGCUGGCUGGAGCCCACUAGAGGCGGGUGGAAUUCCGGUGUAGCGGUGGAAUGCGUAGAGAUCCGGAAGAACACCGGUGGCGAAGGCGGCCCGCUGGGGUGGAGCUGACGCUGAGGCGCGACAGCGUGGGGAGCAACAGGA
rnacentral:rRNA from 1 species